UACGAAGGGUGCAAACGUUGCUCGUAAUUAUUGGGCGUAAAGCGCACGUAGGCGGCUUAGUAAGUUGGAUGUGAAAUCCCUCGGCUUAACCAAGGAAGUGCAUCCAAAACUACUGAGCUUGAGUACUAAAGAGGAUCGCGGAAUUCCCGGUGUAGAGGUGAAAUUCGUAGAUAUCGGGAGGAACACCAGUGGCGAAGGCGGCGAUCUGGGUAGAUACUGACGCUGAGGUGCGAAAGCGUGGGGAGCAAACAGG
rnacentral:rRNA from 1 species